rnacentral:ncRNA from 1 species
AACAAAACGUUGAGCAGAAGAGUAGCGCAGCAGUGAGACAACAGAAAGCCCGGAUGAUGGAAACGGGUGUCGCUGGUGACGUGAAGCACAUCUGUGAGUUGGUCGUCUGAAGAUUGAGUAGGAUGAUUCGGGUUAGCCCGUUAUCGCUGGAGUUGCUUGCAACUCACUGAGGUUGGUUUAGUGAUAGACCAACGAACAGGGGUGGAACCACGAUGUGAUCGUCCUCUUA